AAGGGGUUUAGGGAGAGCAGACUGGGGGCCUGGAGAUUCCUAUCAUCCUGGGGAGGUGCCCACUUGCCUGGCAGGCACCUCUUGGGGCACAAUUGUGUCAGGGGAGUCCUCCCAGACAUUUGUUGGCAGUAGGAAGGGCUGGGGUUCUUCCUGGAACCCCCAGGAGCCCUCUCCUGCCCUGAUGUUCUGGGAAGUGUGUGUCCUUCAUCUUCAAGGUCAAGAAAGGAGCAUGGAGAUGUGUCCCCUUGAAGGGUCAAUAUCACUCCACAGUCCACCAUGGUGUCAGCUUCCUGUGUCCUAACCUCUCAGCCUUUUCCAAGUGGCCAGUGCCCAAGGCCCAUGGGGCACUCUGGGGACUGUGAGGGUCCCUGGGGCCCCAUGGCAGGGAGCCCCACCCCAGCCAGAGCAGCUGCUCGCCCCCCGGCUCUUGCUUGAGGCCUGGACUUUGCAAUGUGCAGAGAAGAGAGGCCUAGAGAAGAGAAGGGACCCUGAGGGAGGGAGGGUUGUGAGGCCUGGGCCUUCCCUGUGGGUGGGGAGGGUGGCUCAGGAGGGCCCUGCUCCAGGCUGUGUCCUGCAUGAGCUCCGGCCCAGGCCCUAGAGCCCAAGCUCUUGUGGUGAGACCCUGAGGAUAGCUGGGACCCAUGGGGACAGGGCUCUGGAGGACAAGGCCAGCUCUGUGG
rnacentral:lncRNA from 1 species